UACGUAGGGGGCAAGCGUUGUCCGGAAUCAUUGGGCGUAAAGCGCGUGUAGGCGGGUCGGUAAGUCCGCUCUGAAAGCCCGGGGCUCAACCCCGGGAGGCGGGUGGAUACUGUCGACCUCGAGUCCGGAAGAGGCGAGUGGAAUUCCUGGUGUAGCGGUGAAAUGCGCAGAUAUCAGGAGGAACACCAAUGGCGAAGGCAGCUCGCUGGGACGUGACUGACGCUGAGACGCGAAAGCGUGGGGAGCAAACAGG
rnacentral:rRNA from 1 species